GGGAACGUGCCUUCUGGUUCGGAAUAACCCUGGGAAACUAGGGCUAAUACCGGAUACGCCCUUAUGGGGAAAGGUUUACUGCCGGAAGAUCGGCCCGCGUCUGAUUAGCUAGUUGGUGGGGUAACGGCCUACCAAGGCGACGAUCAGUAGCUGGUCUGAGAGGAUGAUCAGCCACACUGGGACUGAGACACGGCCCAGACUCCUACGGGAGGCAGCAGUGGGGAAUAUUGGACAAUGGGCGCAAGCCUGAUCCAGCCACGCCGCGUGAGUGAUGAAGGCCUUAGGGUUGUAAAGCUCUUUUAUCCGGGACGAUAAUGACGGUACCGGAGGAAUAAGCCCCGGCUAACUUCGUGCCAGCAGCCGCGGUAAUACGAAGGGGGCUAGCGUUGCUCGGAAUCACUGGGCGUAAAGGGCGCGUAGGCGGCGUUUUAAGUCGGGGGUGAAAGCCUGUGGCUCAACCACAGAAUGGCCUUCGAUACUGGGACGCUUGAGUAUGGUAGAGGUUGGUGGAACUGCGAGU
rnacentral:rRNA from 1 species